rnacentral:lncRNA from 1 species
ACUGUUGCUCAGACAUGAGUGAAGAAUCUCUCUGAGAGGUCUGGAAGAUUUCUGGACCAUUACUGCUUCUGACUUCCUCUCUCUGUGAGCAAAGAGCUAUCACAGGUCAACUGCAGAGUGGAAAAAGUGGCAGCAAAUUGUGGGGCAAACAGGGAAGCAAGCUAAUGCUAUCUACUGGUUUCACAAGAAAAAAAAGUCAGAAAAAACAAAACCACUAAAAGACAUCUUGAAUAAAGAAACAUUUCACUUUGGUGGACCAAAUCUUCAGGGAUGCAUUCAGUUUCUCUGACACAGGUACCUGUGAGCCAGCAAGGCACACUCAGGUAUAGACAGACGCAGCCCAGUCGUGUGGCACCCAUGAAUAGAUCCAGUGAGCCUGUGCAGCUGUGUUUUGAUCAGCAGAGAGGUUUCCUGGCAUCGAGAACUGAAAUCACCUUGUGGCUAUGACAAGCACAUCUAAGUAUGUAGCAAGUGAAAAUCAAGGGUUUCUGUAAGGAAGAAGUAAGGACACCUACCACAAAAAAUUAAAAGUAAAAUAACCUUUAAUAAUUGCAACAAUGCAAACCCCAUUCUGUGUAUUGCUCUAAACUGGCAUUUAGCCAUCCAUCAUUUGCUGGCUCAUAAAGCUGAUUUGUGCUCUUCCCUCCCCUCCCUGCUUCCAGGAGCUGCUGGCCUCCUUUCACCACUCCUUUCCCAUAGGCUCACAACUGGGACCCAAACGCUCUUUUGUCUUUUCCUCUGGAACUCUGCUUAGUGGCA